UCUUCCAAAGAUACAGUGAUGUGAUCUGAAUGAUAACAUGAGCCUCAGACAGGGUGGAUGGUAUCUAGGAGGCAGCUGUGUAACUCUGUUGACGUCAGUGGAAUCAGAGUGACUUAAAACUGGAAUAAUGGAGAGUAAAAUCAGAACCAGUAUUUCCAGAAUCCUUAAAAGACAUUCCACAGUUCCAGAGCUGAGUAAGAAAAGUGAAAGAAAGUUGUAUGGCAAGAGAACACGUGGUUCAAUGGUCACCAAGAUGGCCAUGGAGUCAGAAGCAGCAGCAAGAUCUAAAAGAAUCAGCAUGGCAAUUGAUUUUGAAUUGUAACAAAGAAACUGUAAUUAACAUCCAAAUCAGAGCAGCUUCAGUACUGAGGCUAGAUUCAAAGAGCUCAUAUAAUAAAUUCAGAGUAAGGGGAAGGCAAAUCUCUGUAAAUGGAUAAAACUCAGAACUGCUAUCUGGUGGGAAGGGAAAGGUAAGGUUUUAUAAAGGUCAUUUCCAGCACUCCUGACUCAGAAAGCGAGGAAACAAUCAGCACUGGAACUGAGCUACAAACAUGUUUAGAUGAGAGGCUGGAUGGAAGAAGGUUCCAGGAAGGAGAUUGCAUGGAACAGAGAACAGAUCAUCCCUUUCAGCUGUAUCAUCAUAGGAAAGAUAUGAGAAGUAGCAUGUGCAGAAAUA